UAAGGGAUGUGGGAUUUUCUCUUCACAUGGAAAACUAACGCAGAAGAACCGUAAUUCCAGUGCAGUAUUCCCUUUCUCUUCCACUCUCCAAUCCCCAACUCUUAUUUCCCAUCAACUUCACACCGUUCCUUCUUCCAAUUCUUCGACUCCUUUAACCAUUUCCUUAUCUUGGUAUUCCUCCUUUUCUUCUAUACCAUACUCAUCUUCUCGAUUUUUCAGGAGAUCCGAUUUUUGUUGGUUUCGCAGUUUCUCUUCUUCUUCUUCUUCGCGGGUCAUGUGGUGUUUCUGCUAUAGCUUUGCACAUCAAACAAGGGAUUAAUCCCACGGAGUGGGUAUUCCUCCUCUUCCCAUACCAACGGAACUCUUUCGCUAUCUCAAAGAAAAUAUGAAGAAAAGAGGACACAGUGAAAUUCAUCAGCGCUGAAGGGAUGGAAUUUGUUAUCGACAAGGAAGCUUCCAUGGUUUCUCAAACCAUCCGUGGCUUUGCGGAGGCGGAGCAUGGGGAAGUGACUUUUCCGGAGAUAAGUGCUGUGAUUCUUGAGAAGAUUUGCCAAUAUUUUUAUCGGUCUCUUCAAUAUUCCAGGUUUUUUGGCAUUUACAACAUUACAGUGAAAGGUGCCUCGGUUGAAGAAUUAUAGACUUUCGGUAUAUUCAGUAUAGAAUGGAAGGUGGAUUGUCAAGCUUCUGGGGUCCUGUCACCGCAGCUGAGUGGUGUGAGAAAAACUAUGUUUACUCAUCUUACAUUGCAGAGUUCUUCAAUACAAUUUCCAUUGUUCCAGGCAUUUUUCUGGCGCUCAUUGGCCUUAUAAAUGCAUUAAGACAAUGAUUUGAGAUGAGAUUUAGUGUCCUUCAUAUUUCUAACAUGAUACUUGCCAUUGGGAGCAUGCUAUACCAUGCCACACUGCAGCGUAUGUAAGUAUUCUUAUUCACUUGUAUUUCCAUUCCCUAAUGCUUCAGUUAUUAGAUUAAUGCCUUACGAACUCAGAUCUAAUGCUUCAGCACGACCAUUUCUGAGAAGUAUUCCUCUCUUUCCUGGGACUUGAGAACAAUCCUUUCUUCUCGUCCUCGUCUUCGAUUCUAGAUCCUACAAAGUUCGAGGACAUUGACGAAUCCGUUCCUUUCCUCCGCCGCCGCAAA